AACGAACGCUGGCGGCAUGCCUAACACAUGCAAGUCGAACGAAGCCUUCGGGCUUAGUGGCACACGGGUGCGUAACGCGUGGGAAUCUGCCCUUUGGUUCGGAAUAACAGUUGGAGACGACUGCUAAUACCGGAUGAUGACAAAAGUCCAAAGAUCUAUCGCCAGAGGAUGAGCCCGCGUAGGAUUAGCUAGUUGGUGUGGUAAAGGCGCACCAAGGCGACGAUCCUUAGCUGGUCUGAGAGGAUGAUCAGCCACACUGGGACUGAGACACGGCCCAGACUCCUACGGGAGGCAGCAGUGGGGAAUAUUGGACAAUGGGCGAAAGCCUGAUCCAGCAAUGCCGCGUGAGUGAUGAAGGCCCUAGGGUUGUAAAGCUCUUUUACCCGGGAUGAUAAUGACAGUACCGGGAGAAUAAGCCCCGGCUAACUCCGUGCCAGCCGCCGCCGUAA
rnacentral:rRNA from 1 species